rnacentral:rRNA from 1 species
GACGAACGCUGGCGGCGUGCCUAAUACAUGCAAGUAGAACGCUGAAGGAGGAGCUUGCUUCUCUGGAUGAGUUGCGAACGGGUGAGUAACGCGUAGGUAACCUGCCUGGUAGCGGGGGAUAACUAUUGGAAACGAUAGCUAAUACCGCAUAACAGUAGAUAUCGCAUGAUAUCUACUUGAAAGGUGCAAUUGCAUCACUACCAGAUGGACCUGCGUUGUAUUAGCUAGUUGGUGAGGUAACGGCUCACCAAGGCGACGAUACAUAGCCGACCUGAGAGGGGGAGUGGCCAGACUGGGAGUGAGACACGGCCCAGACGGCUACGGGAGGCAGCAGGAGGGAAUCUGCGGGAAUGGACGGAAGUCUGACCGAGCAACGCCGCGGGAGUGAAGAAGGUUUUCGGAUCGUAAAGCUCUGUUGUAAGAGAAGAACGAGUGUGAGAGUGGAAAGUUCACACUGUGACGGUAUCUUACCAGAAAGGGACGGCUAACUACGUG